rnacentral:rRNA from 1 species
UACAGAGGUCUCAAGCGUUGUUCGGAUUCAUUGGGCGUAAAGGGUGCGUAGGUGGCGCCGUAAGUCGGGUGUGAAAUUUCGGAGCUUAACUCCGAAACUGCAUUCGAUACUACCGUGCUUGAGGACUGGAGAGGAGACUGGAAUUUACGGUGUAGCGGUGAAAUGCGUAGAUAUCGUAAGGAAGACCAGUGGCGAAGGCGGGUCUCUGGACAGUUCCUGACGCUGAGGCACGAAGGCCAGGGGAGCGAACGGG